GACGAACGCUGGCGGCGUGCUUAACACAUGCAAGUCGAACGGAAAGGCCCUGCUUUUGUGGGGUGCUCGAGUGGCGAACGGGUGAGUAACACGUGAGUAACCUGCCCUUGACUUUGGGAUAACUUCAGGAAACUGGGGCUAAUACCGGAUAGGAGCUCCUGCUGCAUGGUGGGGGUUGGAAAGUUUCGGCGGUUGGGGAUGGACUCGCGGCUUAUCAGCUUGUUGGUGGGGUAGUGGCUUACCAAGGCUUUGACGGGUAGCCGGCCUGAGAGGGUGACCGGCCAAAUGGGAAUGAGAGACGGGCCAGGACUCUAAGGGAGGCAAGAGGGGGGAAUAUUGGAAAAAGGGGGGGAGGCUGAAGGAAGAACGGCGGGGGGGGGAAGAAGGGCUUUGGGGUGUAAAACGGCUUCGGCUGUGACGAAGCGUGAGUGACGGUAAUGGGUAAAGAAGCACCGGCUAACUACGUG
rnacentral:rRNA from 1 species